AGUGAACGCUGGCGGCAGGCCUAACACAUGCAAGUCGAGCGGCAGCGCGGUGGCAACCCUGGCGGCGAGCGGCGGACGGGUGAGGAAUUCGUCGGAGUCUGCCGUCUUGGGGGGUAUAACGACGGGAAACUUACGCUAAUACCGCAUACUUCCUACGGGAGAAGGUGGGUGACCGCAAGACCUCACGCGCAAAGAUGAGUCGACGACCGAUUAGCUAGUUGGUGGGGUAAAGGCUCACUAAGGCGGCGAUCGGUAGCUAGUCUGAGAGGAUGAUCAGCCACACUGGGACUGAGACCCGGACCGGGCUCGUACGGGAGGCAGCAGUGGGGAAUAUGGGAGAAUGGGGGCAAGCCUGAUACAGCCAUGAAGCGUGUGUGAAGAAGGCCUUCGGGUUGUAAAGCACUUUUGUCCGGAAAGAAAUCCCUGGAGCUAAUACAUUCGGGGGAUGACGGAACCGGAAGAAUGAGCACCGGCUAUAUUCG
rnacentral:rRNA from 1 species